GAUGAACGCUGGCGGCGUGCUUAACACAUGCAAGUCGAACGGGAAUUGUUUUAUUGUAACUGCGGUCGAUUUGAUUUAAUUCUAGUGGCGGACGGGUGAGUAACGCGUGGGUAACCUGCCUUAUACAGGGGGAUAACAGUCAGAAAUGGCUGCUAAUACCGCAUAAGCGCACAGAGCUGCAUGGCUCAGUGUGAAAAACUCCGGUGGUAUAAGAUGGACCCGCGUUGGAUUAGCUUGUUGGCAGGGUAACGGCCUACCAAGGCGACGAUCCGUAGCCGGCAUGAGAGGGUGAACGGCGACAUUGGGACUGAGAAACGGCCCAGAAUACUACGGGAGGCAGCAGUGGGGAAUAUUGCACAAUGGGGGAAACGCUGAUGCAGCGACGCCGCGUGAAGGAAGAAGUAUCUCGGUAUGUAAACUUCUAUAAGCAGGGAAGAUAGUGACGGUACCUGAAUAAGAAGCCCCGGCUAACUACGUG
rnacentral:rRNA from 1 species